rnacentral:rRNA from 1 species
UAUAUUCUGNCUGGGAGAUGUUGGGUUAAGUCCCGCACACACCGCACCCCUCGUUCUAUGUUGCCCACCCUUUAUGGGGGGGACUCAUAGGAGACUGCCGGGGUCAACUCGAGGAAGGGGGGGAUAACCUCAAAUCAUCAUGCCCCUUAUGUCUUGGGCUUCACGCAUGCUACAAUGGCCGGUACAAAGGGUUGCGAUACUGUGAGGUGGAGCUAAUCCCUAAAAGCCGGUCUCAUUUCGAAUUGGGGUCUGCAACUCGACCCCAUGAAGUCGGAGUCGCUAGAAAUCCCAAAUCAGCAACCCUGCGGAAAAUACUUUCCCGGGUUUUGUACACC